ACAAAUCUACAAAGUUGCAUGAAAACAGCUCAAAGCAUUUUUGAAUUAUUGUACGAAAACUGGAAAAUCACAAUUAUUUAAUGAAUAAAACCCCAUAACUUGGAAACCUAAUUUAUAAAAAUUGAAAGGGAGCUCACGUCAAUAGAUAUUAAUACGAUCCACCAAAGUUGCAUACAAACUGGAUGAAGCGUUUUUGAGUUAUUGUACGACAAGUGGACGACUGACGGACAGACAACGGUGUACCAUAAUACGUCCCGUAAACGGGC
rnacentral:lncRNA from 1 species